GGGCGAAAGCCUGACGCAGCCAUGCCGCGUGAAUGAUGAAGGUCUUAGGAUUGUAAAAUUCUUUCACCGGGGACGAUAAUGACGGUGCCCGGAGAAGAACCCCGGCUAACUUCGUGCCAGCAGCCGCGGUAAUACGAAGGGGGCUAGCGUUGCUCGGAAUUACUGGGCGUAAAGGGAGCGUAGGCGGACAUUUAAGUCAGGGGUGAAAUCCCGGGGCUCAACCUCGGAAUUGCCUUUGAUACUGGGUGUCUUGAGUAUGAGAGAGGUGUGUGGAACUCCGAGUGUAGAGGUGAAAUUCGUAGAUAUUCGGAAGAACACCAGUGGCGAAGGCGACACACUGGCUCAUUACUGACGCUGAGGCUCGAAAGCGUGGGGAGCAAACAGGAUUAGAUACCCUGGUAGUCCACGCCGUAAACGAUGAUUGCUAGUUGUCGGGAUGCAUGCAUUUCGGUGACGCAGCUAACGCAUUAAGCAAUCCGCCUGGGGAGUACGGUCGCAAGAUUAAAACUCA
rnacentral:rRNA from 1 species